rnacentral:rRNA from 1 species
UACGUAGGGUGCAAGCGUUUGUCCGGAAUUAUUGGGCGUAAAGAGCUCGUAGGCGGUUUGUCGCGUCUGCUGUGAAAACUCGGGGCUUAACCCCGAGCCUGCAGUGGAUACGGGCAGACUAGAGGUAGGUAGGGGAGAAUGGAAUUCCCGGUGUAGCGGUGAAAUGCGCAGAUAUCGGGAGGAACACCGGUGGCGAAAGCGGCGCACUGGACCAUAACUGACGCUGAGGCGCGAAAAGCUAGGGGAGCAAACAGGG